rnacentral:rRNA from 1 species
UCAUGGCUCAGAACGAACGCUGGCGGCAGGCUUAACACAUGCAAGUCGAACGCCCCGCAAGGGGAGUGGCAGACGGGUGAGUAACGCGUGGGAAUCUACCCAACCCUACGGAAUAGCUCCGGGAAACUGGAAUUAAUACCGUAUACGCCCUUCGGGGGAAAGAUUUAUCGGGGAUGGAUGAGCCCGCGUUGGAUUAGCUAGUUGGUGGGGUAAAGGCCUACCAAGGCGACGAUCCAUAGCUGGUCUGAGAGGAUGACCAGCCACAUUGGGACUGAGACACGGCCCAAACUCCUACGGGAGGCAGCAGUGGGGAAUAUUGGACAAUGGGCGCAAGCCUGAUCCAGCCAUGCCGCGUGAGUAGAUGAAGGUCUUAGGAUUGUAAAGCUCUUUCAGUGGGGACGAUAAUGACGUACCCACAGAAG